rnacentral:rRNA from 1 species
UGGUGGCGACCGGCGCACGGUGAGUAACACGUGUGCAACCAACCCCGUACCGGGAGAUAACCCGCGGAAACGUGGACUAACAUCCCAUGAGACUCUAGAUCCGCAUGGCUCUAGAUUUAAAAUUCCGGUGGUACGGGACGGGCACGCGCGACAUUAGGUAGUUGGCGGGGUAAGGGCCCACCAAGCCGACGAUGUCUAGGGGUUCUGAGAGGAAGGUCCCCCACACUGGAACUGAGACACGGUCCAG